rnacentral:rRNA from 1 species
UUGGCGGGCCUGGAGCUGGCUAUGACGCGUCGAGCGGUAAUGAGCCCUUCGGGGUACACGAGCGGCGAACGGGUGAGUAACACGUGAGCAACCUGCCCCUGACUCCGGGAUAAGCGGUGGAAACGCCGUCUAAUACCGGAUACGACCGGCCGCCUCAUGGUGGCCGGUGGAAAGUUCUUCGGUUGGGGAUGGGCUCGCGGCCUAUCAGCUUGUUGGUGGGGUAAAGGCCUACCAAGGCGAUUACGGGUAGCCGGCCUGAGAGGGCGACCGGCCACACUGGGACUGAGACACGGCCCAGACUCCUGCGGGAGGCAGCAGUGGGGAAUAUUGCGCAAUGGGCGAAAGCCUGACGCAGCGACGCCGCGUGGGGGAUGACGGCCUUCGGGUUGUAAACCUCUUUUACCACCAACGCAGGCUCCCAGUUCUCUGGGGGUUGACGGUAGGUGGGGAAUAAGGACCGGCUAACUACGUGCCAGCAGCCGCGGUAAUACGUAGGGUCCGAGCGUUGUCCGGAAUUAUUGGGCGUAAAGAGCUCGUAGGCGGCGUGUCGCGUCUGCUGUGAAAGACCGGGGCUUAACUCCGGUUCUGCAGUGGAUACGGGCAUGCUAGAGGUAGGUAGGGGAGACUGGAAUUCCUGGUGUAGCGGUGAAAUGCGCAGAUAUCAGGAGGAACACCGGUGGCGAAGGCGGGUCUCUGGGCCUUACCUGACGCUGAGGAGCGAAAGCAUGGGGAGCGAACAGGAUUAGAUACCCUGGUAGUCCAUGCCGUAAACGUUGGGCGCUAGGUGUGGGGACUUUCCACGGUUUCCGCGCCGUAGCUAACGCAUUAAGCGCCCCGCCUGGGGAGUACGGCCGCAAGGCUAAAACUCAAAGGAAUUGACGGGGGCCCGCACAAGCGGCGGAGCAUGUUGCUUAAUUCGACGCAACGCGAAGAACCUUACCAAGGUUUGACAUCACCCGUGGACCUGCAGAGAUGUGGGGUCAUUUAGUUGGUGGGUGAC